GACAGAGGAUGCAAGCGUUAUCCGGAAUGAUUGGGCGUAAAGCGUCUGUAGGUGGCUUUUUAAGUCCGCCGUCAAAUCCCAGGGCUCAACCCUGGACAGGCGGUGGAAACUACCAAGCUGGAGUACGGUAGGGGCAGAGGGAAUUUCCGGUGGAGCGGUGAAAUGCGUAGAGAUCGGGAGGAACACCAAAGGCGAAAGCGCUCUGCUGGGCCGAAACUGACACUGAGAGACGAAAGCUAGGGGAGCGAAUGGG
rnacentral:rRNA from 1 species